rnacentral:rRNA from 1 species
UAGUACACUUAAAUUUAAUUCUAUAAAACUAAAAUAUUAAAAGUUAUGUUCUUUAAAUUUAAAAAAUUUGGCGGUAUUUUAGUCUUGUUAGAGGAACCUGUUUUAUAAAUGAUACUACACGCAAUAUCUUGCUUGUCUUAGUAAGUUUGUAUACCGUCAUUAUAAGAUAAUUUAAGAAAGAAUAUUAUUAAAAUCAAAUUUUUUGAGUAUAUUAGAUCAAGGUGCAGCUUAUGGGUAAGUAAAAAUGGGUUACAAUAAAAUAUAUUUAAUGAAUUAGGUGUUUAAAAUAGCUAUGAAGGAGGAUUUAAUUGUAAAAUUAAAAUAGUAAGUUUUUUUGAUACAAGCUCUAAAUUAUGUACAUAU